UUUUUUGACGUAUUGGUUAUGUUGGUAUUACCGAUAUUUACCAUAACAAUAUGUUACAUCCUAAUUUUUGUCACUAUCAGUCGCCGGCACCGAAGUGGAUUUGUUGUCUCAAAACGGCGGAAAAGCUCGACGAAUGAGUCAGAUGGUGAAAUCCAAGGUAAAGAUAAAAUAAUAACCACAGCAAAAAUAAAAACCAUAAAAUUACUCUUUGUCGUCGUAAUAGCGUAUAUUUUGUGUUGGACGCCGAUAACUGUGGCAGCUGUUUUAAACAACUAUGAUAUUAUUUCUUUGUCAGACAAUGCUACCGAAAAUGUUUUGUUUCAGACCCUUUAUCUGUUUGCACCUCUGAACAGUUUGGUAAACCCAAUGGUUUUUAUCCUAUUUAAUAGGAAGAUGUUUGUUAGGAAAAGAAAAGUGUUGAGGGAUUAUAGCUCCAGAAGGACUUCAAUACCAAUGAUCAUAUUUGGAACAUCCCGAAGUUCACUUAGUCAAUAUUAAAACCAACUCUGAUAGUUUUUAACAUUUUUUAACAACAGGACUACAUUGUAUCCUAAUGUGAUUACAGUUUCCAUUUUACAUUUACCUUAUACUGUGUUUAUUAAAUACAAUUGAACGUUCAUAUUGAUCUCUAUACCAUCAUUGUACAGUAAGAUUAAAUUACUUUCUAUGUUCUGCAUUGCUUAAUAAACUGUAGCAAAUCUG